rnacentral:rRNA from 1 species
UACGGAGGGUGCGAGCGUUGUCCGGAGUUACUGGGCGUAAAGCGCACGCAGGCGGUCUCUUAAGUUUGGAGUGACAGUUGGUGGCUUAACUGCCAAAGUGCUUCGAAAACUGAGAGACUUGAGGGCUUCAGAGGGACACGGAAUUCCGGGUGGAGUGGUGAAAUGCGUAGAGAUCCGGAGGAACACCAAAGGCGAAGGCAGUGUCCUGGGGAGUACCUGACGCUCAGGUGCGAAAGCCAGGGGAGCGAACGGG